rnacentral:rRNA from 1 species
AGAUACCCGGGUAGUCCACGCCGUAAACGAUGUCAACUAGCCGUUGGGAGCAUAUAAGCUCUGAGUGGCGCAGCUAACGCGAUAAGUUGACCGCCUGGGGAGUACGCCGGCAACGGUAAAACUCAAAGGAAUUGACGGGGGCCCGCACAAGCGGUGGAGCAUGUGGUUUAAUUCGAUGCAACGCGAAAAACCUUACCUACCCUUGACAUCCUCAGAACUUGUUAGAGAUAACUUGGUGCCUUCGGGAACUGAGUGACAGGUGCUGCAUGGCCGCCGUCAG